CCUACGGGAGGCAGCAGUGGGGAAUAUUGCACAAUGGGCGAAAGCCUGAUGCAGCAACGCCGCGUGAGCGAUGAAGGCCUUCGGGUCGUAAAGCUCUGUCCUCAAGGAAGAUAAUGACGGUACUUGAGGAGGAAGCCGCGGCUAACUACGUGCCAGCAGCCGCGGUAAUACGUCGGGGGCUAGCGUUAUCCGGAUUUACUGGGCGUAAAGGGUGCGUAGGUGGUUUCUUAAGUCAGAGGUGAAAGGCUAGGGCUCAACCGUAGUAAGCCGUUGAAACUGGGGAACUUGAGUGCAGGAGAGGUGAGUGGAAUUCCUAGUGUAGCGGUGAAAUGCGUAGAUAUUAGGAGGAACACCAGUUGCGAAGGCGGCUCUCUGGACUGUAACUGACACUGAGGCACGAAAGCGUGGGGAGCAAACAGGAUUAGAUACCCGAGUAGUC
rnacentral:rRNA from 1 species